rnacentral:rRNA from 1 species
UACCAGCACCCCGAGUGGUCGGGACGAUUAUUGGGCCUAAAGCAUCCGUAGCCGGUUCUACAAGUCUGAUGUGAAAGCACUCUGCUCAACAGAGUGAUGCCAUUGGAAACUACAAGGCUGGAGUCUGGCAGAGGUAGGCGGAAUUCCGGGUGGAGUGGUGAAAUGCGUAGAGAUCCGGAGGAACACCAGAGGCGAAGGCGGCCUACUGGGCCAGUACUGACGCUGAGCCGCGAAAGCCAGGGGAGCGAACGGG